rnacentral:lncRNA from 10 species
GAGGGCCUAGCUGAUGCCUGGCUUGUAACAGGCCCCCAGGCAACAUUUGCUGAAUGAGUGCUUAAAGGAAUCCUGUGAAGGUGCCCACAUGGCAGAUGCUGUCGGCAGAACCCAGCCCUGAAGCCUGCCCGCAGCAGCUGGCAAUGAGACCCCGUAGCACCCGGGUCACCCUGCGGCAGAGCCCAGCAGCUUCCAAAGCAAAGCAGAGGGGGUGAAAGUGCAGUGGUG